rnacentral:rRNA from 1 species
ACGGGUGAGUAAUGUCUGGGGAUCUGCCCGAUAGAGGGGGAUAACCACUGGAAACGGUGGCUAAUACCGCAUAACGUCGCAAGACCAAAGAGGGGGACCUUCGGGCCUCUCACUAUCGGAUGAACCCAGAUGGGAUUAGCUAGUAGGCGGGGUAAUGGCCCACCUAGGCGACGAUCCCUAGCUGGUCUGAGAGGAUGACCAGCCACACUGGAACUGAGACACGGUCCAGACUCCUACGGGAGGCAGCAGUGGGGAAUAUUGCACAAUGGGCGCAAGCCUGAUGCAGCCAUGCCGCGUGUAUGAAGAAGGCCUUCGGGUUGUAAAGUACUUUCAGCGGGGAGGAAGGCAGUGAGGUUAAUAACCUUACUGAUUGACGUUACCCGCAGAAGAAGCACCGGCUAACUCCGUGCCAGCAGCCGCGGUAAUACGGAGGGUGCAAGCGUUAAUCGGAAUUACUGGGCGUAAAGCGCACGCAGGCGGUCUGUUAAGUCAGAUGUGAAAUCCCCGGGCUUAACCUGGGAACUGCAUUUGAAACUGGCAGGCUUGAGUCUCGUAGAGGGGGGUAGAAUUCCAGGUGU